AGGCUUAUGGUGCAGUGGCAGCACACAGGACUUUGACUCCUGAGACAUCGGUUCGAAUCCGGUUUUGCCUG
rnacentral:tRNA from 1 species